AAACAGACCAAACUCAACCAAGCUAUACGUACCGUGUAUGAAGAACCGCAGAUAACCGGUCGGAAGAGGUACCGACCAUGAGGCAAACCCCUGCAGCCGAUUAUUCUGUCUGAAUGGUACGUACUACCAUUUAUGAGGCUGCUGGCCAAUCAGUUGGUGCAGCCGAUCAACAUAUCGAGGACGUUAAUCAACUGACUAGAAUUGUCAACCAACCUUCGGGCGACCAGGUGAGGGAACCGCAUGUACAUUUAGAAGACAUAUCUUUCUCCAACUCUGGGAACCCCUCCAUUAGUCAAGAGGUUGGGGGCUUGAUCGAAGCCUAAGAGAAAAUGGUGAGUUUAAAAUGAUUCCUUAGUUCGUGCCCCUAUCUAAAAACCUCACUGCAAUUUUCUUACAUAAUUCGGAAUGUAAUCCUUUCGGGCCCAACCCCCCACCCGCCGGUGAAGAGUCAGAAGUUGGGGUCUGGGCGCUCUAUGGAUCCCCCUUCACACAACACCUCUCAUUGCCCCAUCUAACCUUACUGUCGUCCAGGGCCAGGGCCAAACUAACCUCACACCCUUAGCCAGUAUUUCCAUCACUCCCGAGGCUCGGCAAGUGAUGACCAAAUGUGCCUUAAUUUCCUUUCGUGACCUGGACGAUCAGACCUUCAAGCCUUCGCUCAGUUCAUGCUUCAUUUGUUGGUUCAUCCCUCUGUUGAUCCUAGUGCC